rnacentral:rRNA from 1 species
GGAGGGUGCAAGCGUUAAUCGGACUUACUGGGCGUAAAGGGUGCGUAGGUGGAUGAUUAAGUUGGUGGUGAAAGCCCUGGGCUUAACCUAGGAAUUGCCACCAAGACUGACUGUCUAGAGUAUGGUAGAGGGAAGUGGAAUUUCCGGUGUAGCGGUGAAAUGCGUAGAGAUCGGAAGGAACACCAGUGGCGAAGGCGGCUUCCUGGCCCAAUACUGACACUGAGGCACGAAAGCGUGGGUAGCAAACAGGAUUAGAUACCCUGGUAGUCCACGCCGUAAACGAUGAGUACUAGAUGUUGGAUAGGUUACUAUUCGGUAUCGCAGCUAACGCAAUAAGUACUCCGCCUGGGGGAUUACGGCCGCAAGGCUAA